rnacentral:rRNA from 1 species
UCGAGGAUCUUCCGCAAUGGGCGCAAGCCUGACGGAGCGACGCCGCGUGUGGGAUGAAGGCCUUCGGGUUGUAAACCACUGUCACUCGUUAAGAAAGGGUUCGGCGUUAACAGCGUCGAGCACUGACGAAGGCGAGAGAGGAAGCCACGGCUAACUUCGUGCCAGCAGCCGCGGUAAGACGAAGGUGGCGAGCGUUGUUCGGAAUCACUGGGCAUAAAGCGCACGUAGGCGGUGUCGUAAGUCGGGUGUGAAAUCCCUCGGCCCAACCGAGGAACUGCGCCCGAUACUGCGAUGCUUGAGGACCAGAGGGGUGCAUGGAAUUUCCGGUGGAGCGGUGAAAUGCGUUGAUAUCGGAAGGAACUCCGGCGGCGAAAGCGAUGCACUGGCUGGUUUCUGACGCUGAGGUGCGAAAGCCAGGGGAGCAAACG